UAAAAAAACCUCCUCUCGAACCUUCAAACUUACGGACCAUCGUCAUCUUAUCGUUGCUCCUAAAUUUCAGAUAUCCUGUGAAGUUGUGUCCAGUGCUGAACACUGUUGUGUAAAAGGGGGACCACCGAAAUCUCGUAUCCUGAAAUUUUGAAGAGAAGUGAGCCGCCGAACCCCGCAAAUCCACCAGCAAGCAACUUCCCCGUCGCGAUCAUGUCCGCCGGGAGCGAGAGACCCCACACAUUCGCGACCCCCUCGGCGGUGCCGGGCAACUUCUCCCGCGGUUCCGGCUCCGGCUCCGCCCCCGCCGCCGCCACGGACAGCGUCGGCAGGUGUUCGUCCUCGGGGGCGCCGACGAAGAGCAGGAAGCAGCCGUUCCGGCCCGCCGCAGACGACACCAAGCCCGUCCUCCGCGACCCGAUCUCGCGGUCGGAUCCGGUGGAGACCGAGCAGGCCGUGCUGCGGCUGCCGCCCUUCCCCUAAGAUCGCACCACCUCCUGAAUCCUGAUGGUACGCAGCGCUAGCUACAAGUAAAACCUAUUCAACUGAUUUGCGAAGGAACAGUCAAGUGCUGCGAUAGUAGGAUGGAAACAACAAUAUCACAGGAUUUUACAAGUAGUAUUCGAGAAACUGGUAUGGCCUAAUCUGCUGGAGCGCUGCUACCUACAAUUUGCUCUGAUGCCGGUGCUUGCGGUUCUUUACUCUGCUCAACUGUAGUAAUCGAAGAACGAUGUUCUUCCUGUGCAUUUCCAUCGACCAGUCCGCUUGUUUAGUUGGAAGCUUUGUGCUACUAAUUAUGGUUUUGCACCAGUGUUUUGGAUCUAAUAGGUAAACUGAGGUGUAGAAGUAGAUUUGAACGGGUGAUA